CGAACGCUGGCGGCGUGCUUAACACAUGCAAGUCGAACGGAAAGGCCCUGCUUUUGUGGGGUGCCCGAGUGGCGAACGGGUGAGUAACACGUGAGUAACCUGCCCUUGACUUUGGGAUAACUUCAGGAAACUGGGGCUAAUACCGGAUAGGAGCUCCUGCUGCAUGGUGGGGUUGGAAAGUUUCGGCGGUUGGGGAUGGACUCGCGGCUUAUCAGCUUGUUGGUGGGGUAGUGGCUUACCAAGGCUUUGACGGGUAGCCGGCCUGAGAGGGUGACCGGCCACAUUGGGACUGAGAUACGGCCCAGACUCCUACGGGAGGCAGCAGUGGGGAAUAUUGCACAAUGGGCGGAAGCCUGAUGCAGCAACGCCGCGUGCGGGAUGACGGCCUUCGGGUUGUAAACCGCUUUCGCCUGUGACGAAGCGUGAGUGACGGUAAUAGGUAAAGAAGCACCGGCUAACUACGUG
rnacentral:rRNA from 1 species